rnacentral:rRNA from 1 species
GAUGAACGCUAGCUACAGGCUUAACACAUGCAAGUCGAGGGGUAACGAGAGGAAAGCUUGCUUUCCUUGUCGACGACCGGCGCACGGGUGAGUAACGCGUAUCCAACCUGCCCCCAACUAGGGAAUAACCUUGCGAAAGUAAGACUAAUACCCUAUAAUUUCCUCAGAUGUCAUCUGACGAGGAAUAAAGAUUUAUCGGUUGUGGAUGGGGAUGCGUCUGAUUAGCUUGUUGGCGGGGUAACGGCCCACCAAGGCAACGAUCAGUAGGGGUUCUGAGAGGAAGGUCCCCCCCAUUGGAACUGGGACACUGUCCAAACUCCUACGGGAGGCAGCAGUGAGGAAUAUUGGUCAAUGGGCGGAAGCCUGAACCAGCCAAGUAGCGUGCAGGAUGACGGCCCUAUGGGUUGUAAACUGCUUUUAUACAGGAAUAAAGUUAGCCACGUGUGGUUAUUUGUAGGUACUGUAUGAAUAAGGACCGGCUAAUUCCGUGCCAGCCGCCGCCGUAA